rnacentral:rRNA from 1 species
UAUCUGGCUCAGGAUGAACGCUAGCGGCAGGCUUAACACAUGCAAGUCGAGGGGUAGAGUUAGCUUGCUAACUUGAGACCGGCGCACGGGUGCGUAACGCGUAUGCAACCUACCUUUCACAAAGGGAUAGCCCAGAGAAAUUUGGAUUAAUACCUUAUAGUAUAUAGAGAUGGCAUCAUCAUUAUAUUAAAGUUCCAACGGUGAAAGAUGGGCAUGCGUCCCAUUAGCUAGAUGGUAAGGUAACGGCUUACCAUGGCAACGAUGGGUAGGGGUCCUGAGAGGGAGAUCCCCCACACUGGUACUGAGACACGGACCAGACUCCUACGGGAGGCAGCAGUGAGGAAUAUUGGUCAAUGGGCGCAAGCCUGAACCAGCCAUGCCGCGUGCAGGAUGACGGUCCUAUGGAUUGUAAACUGCUUUUAUACGGGAAGAAACACUGCUUCGUGAAGCAGCUUGACGGUACCGUAAGAAUAAGGAUCGGCUAACUCCGUG